rnacentral:rRNA from 1 species
UCCACGCCGUAAACGAUGUCAACUAGCCGUUGGGACCUUGAGGUCUCAGUGGUGCAGCUAACGCGUGAAGUUGACCGCCUGGGGAGUACGGCCGCAAGGCUAAAACUCAAAUGAAUUGACGGGGGCCCGCACAAGCGGUGGAGCAUGUGGUUUAAUUCGAUGCAACGCGAAGAACCUUACCUACCCUUGACAUUGACAGAAUCCAGUAGAGAUACAGGAGUGCCUUCGGGCCU